rnacentral:tRNA from 1 species
AGCAGCGUGGCUCAGUGGAAAGAGCACGAGCUGGGGAGUCAGAGGUCAUGGGUUCGAAUCCCGGCUCUGCCG